UUUAUUAUAGGAUUAUAGUUUAAAUAAAACAUUUGAUUUGCAUUCAAAUAAUAUUGAAAUUCAAUUUAUCUUA
rnacentral:tRNA from 1 species